CGCUAGCGUAUACUAAAGUUGUUGCUGUUAAAAGCUCGUAGUUGGAUAUCAGUUGUGGGAGCAUGACCCGGUUGUGUAAACAGCCGCGCGUCAACGCGGUUCGCCGCAGCUCGCGCAACUUUUUUCAGGAUUGCCGGUCUGCCCAUUCACUUGGGACGGGCCGGCGUUUCCUGAUCAUUUACUUUGAGAAAAUUAAAGCGCUCAAAGCAGGCCAACGCCUGAAUGCAUUAGCAUGGAAUAAUAAUACUCGACUUUGGCAUCGCCGCUUGCGGCGAGGGUUUUGUUGGUUUUGAGCCAAAGUAAUGAUUGACAGGAACAAUUGGGGGUGCUAGUAUCGCCGGGCCAGAGGUAAAAUUCUUUGAUUCCGGUGAGACUGACUUAUGCGAAAGCAUUCGCCAAGGGUGCUUCCUUUAAUCAAGAACUAAAGCUGGGGGAUCGAAGAUGAUCAGAUACCGU
rnacentral:rRNA from 1 species